rnacentral:ncRNA from 1 species
CGAGGAAGGGCGUAGUAAGCGACAAAAUGAUUCAGGGAGUUGAAAAUAAGCAUAGAUCUGAAGAUUCCCGAAUAGGUUAACCUUUUGAACUGCUGCUGAAUCCAUGGGCAGGCAAGAG